rnacentral:rRNA from 1 species
UAGUGGCGAACGGGUGAGUAACACGUGGGCAAUCUGCCCUUCACUCUGGGACAAGCCCUGGAAACGGGGUCUAAUACCGGAUAACACUGCGGAUCGCAUGGUCUGCGGUUAAAAGCUCCGGCGGUGAAGGAUGAGCCCGCGGCCUAUCAGCUUGUUGGUGAGGUAGUGGCUCACCAAGGCGACGACGGGUAGCCGGCCUGAGAGGGCGACCGGCCACACUGGGACUGAGACACGGCCCAGACUCCUACGGGAGGCAGCAGUGGGGAAUAUUGCACAAUGGGCGAAAGCCUGAUGCAGCGACGCCGCGUGAGGGAUGACGGCCUUCGGGUUGUAAACCUCUUUCAGCAGGGAAGAAGCGAAAGUGACGGUACCUGCAGAAGAAGCGCCGGCUAACUACGUGCCAGCAGCCGCGGUAAUACGUAGGGCGCAAGCGUUGUCCGGAAUUAUUGGGCGUAAAGAGCUCGUAGGCGGCUUGUCACGUCGAUUGUGAAAGCCCGAGGCUUAACCUCGGGUCUGCAGUCGAUACGGGCUAGCUAGAGUGUGGUAGGGGGAGAUCGGGAAUUCCU